GGGCGGAUGGCGAAAUGGCAGACGCGCCAGACUUAGGAUCUGGUGGGGAAACCCUUGGAGGUUCAAGUCCUCUUCCGCCCA
rnacentral:tRNA from 1 species